UUGGACUCUCUUUGACCCUUUGUACCCAAGUGGUCUGUGGUGGAGCCCUUUGAAAACAAUCUCCUGGAUAAAGUGUUUAUGGGAUUUACCGCAAGCCCGUGGCUCUUUUGCUGUGACGCCUGCUGCGUAAGAGAGACCAAAACCACCAUCUCAACGAGGUCAAACGUGCCGUCACCCCAAGAGCGAGACAUUCCUCCUGGGUCCUCCGUAAGCGCCCCGAGGCAUCCCAGGCGCUGGAACAUAAAGAAGAUGAGAAACGCUCUCUCAGAGAACUUGCUUCCUGGUCUCGGCUACACCCCAGACUCUCAGAGUCUAGUCUGAGUCUAUACGCAUCUGUGCUUAGGAUCACUCGGCAUGGGUUCGAGUAAGCCCAUCUGUGAGAGCCUUGUAAAAACAUAUCUAUUGUCAUUCCGAUUCAUCUUAUGGAUGAGCCCCUUCCGAUGUUUGAAAACAUGAAAUUCCAACACAUGUGAAAAAAAUCAC